UACGUAGGGUGCAAGCGUUUGUCCGGAAUUAUUGGGCGUAAAGGGCUCGUAGGCGGUUUGUCGCGUCGGGAGUGAAAACCUUGGGCUUAACUCAGGGCUUGCUUUCGAUACGGGCAGACUAGAGGUAUGCAGGGGAGACGUGAAUUCCUGGUGUAGCGGUGAAAUGCGCAGAUAUCAGGAGGAACACCGGUGGCGAAGGCGGUCUCGUGGGCG
rnacentral:rRNA from 1 species